rnacentral:rRNA from 1 species
AGAGUUUGAUCCUGGCUCAGGAUGAACGCUAGCUACAGCUAACACAUGCAAGUCGACCGGCGCACGGGUGAGUAACACGUAUCCACCUGCCGCUUACUCGGGGAUAGCUUUCGAAAGAAUUAAUACCCGAUGGUUUGCAUUUAAAGAUCGGUAAGCGAUGGGGAUGCGUUCCAUUAGAUUGUUGGCGGGUAACGGCCACCAAGUCUACGAUGGAUAGGGGUUCUGAAGGAAGGUCCCCCACAUUGGAACUGAGACACGGUCCAAACUCUACGGGAGGCAGCAGUGAGGAAUAUUGGUCAAUGGACGCGAGUCUGAACCAGCCAAGUAGCGUGAAGGAUGACGCUAUGGGUUGUAAACUUCUUUUAUAAGGGGAUACGUUGUAUGUACCUUAUGAAUAAGGAUCGGCUAACUCCGUGCCGCAGCCGCGGUAAUACGGAGGAUCCGAGCGUUAUCCGGAUUUAUUGGGUUUAAAGGGAGCGUAGGUUGACUAUAAGUCAGCUGUGAAAGUUUCGGCUCAACCGGAAAUUGCAGUUGAUACUGUAUUCUUGAGUGUACAAGAGGUGGGCGGAAUCGUGGUGUAGCGGUGAAAUGCUUAGAUAUCAUCAGAACACCGAUUGCGAAGGCAGGUGGCUACGAUUUGUUUGACACUGAGGCACGAAAGCAUGGGGAGCAAACAGGAUUAGAUACCCUGGUAGUCCAUGCUGUAAACGAUGAGGACUCGUUGUUUGACUGAGCGACUAGGGAAACCGUUAAGUCCCCACCUGGGGAGUACGCCGGCAAGGUAAACUCAAAGGAAUUGACGG